rnacentral:rRNA from 1 species
UACCUCGCGAAUAGCCCCGGCUACUCUGUGCCAGCAGCCGCGGUAAUACAGAGGGGGCAAGCGUUGUCCGGAGUUACUGGGCGUAAAGCGCACGUAGGCGGUCCUGCAAGUGGUGUGUGAAACCAAUCAGCUUAACUGAUUGACGCCAUGCCAAACUGCGAGACUCGAGUCAUGGAGAGGUAGUUCGAAUUGCUGGUGUAGUGGUGAAAUGCGUAGAUAUCAGCAGGAAGACCAAGGGAGAAAUCAGACUACUGGCCAUGAACUGACGCUCAGGUGCGAAAGCGUGGGGAGCGAACUGGAUUAGAUACCCAGGUAGU